rnacentral:tRNA from 2 species
GCGUCUGUAGCUUAAUUGGAUAGAGCGUUAGAUUACGAAUCUAAAAGUUGAAAGUUCAAAUCUUUCCAGACGUA